GGUCUAACCACCACUUACCACCACAGACAAGAAGGACAGAACGAAGGAGGCCUGAGGACAGACACCUUAACGGAAGAACAAAAGCUUAAGAGAAAAUGAAGAGUGAAGUAGCAUUUUUGUUAGUUGUCUGUCUAGUUCUUGUCAACUUUUCUUUGUCAGAAGCAUUUUCAUGCAAUAACCACAACUGUCCCAUGAAACUCCAUGAUCAAGGCUAUAAAAAGCGAAGAGGAAACGAGGGAAAGAGGACAUUCGAUCGCCUAGUUCCAUGCAACGAUGGUAAGGGCCUUUGCUUUGAGAGUGGCCCGUAUGAUGGCGCAGCGAAGGAAGACCAGAGGGCUAACAACAUUAUACGCAGAAUUAACGCUAUCAGGAAUUCACGUCAACGUAGCCUAGCAACCGACCUUAACAUGAGUAGUGACUAGUUUUAAUGAAAAGAAGUUUUAAUCAGAUAUAAAGAGAUUUUUGUAAAAGUCACAAAAUAUUAGUUUUUAUAAAAAGUAAAUGAAAUAAAGGCUACUUUACCAUAAUGUAAAAUAUACCCGAAGCGUCUGUAACGAUAAGACUGCAAGCAUGUUGUAACCAUAAGCCUUUACAAGUUGUAUUAUUUUUGAAUCUUAACCCACUAAAAAAUUGCUAUUAAAAUUGCUAUUUAAGUUCGUCUUCAAAA